CCUGGCGGCUGUAGCGCGGUGGUCCCACCUGACCCCAUGCCGAACUCAGAAGUGAAACGCCGUAGCGCCGAUGGUAGUGUGGGGUCUCCCCAUGCGAGAGUAGGGAACUGCCAUGC
rnacentral:rRNA from 1 species